UCAUUACUUUGAUUACUCAACAAAAUACUGCAUUGUUUUUUGUAACCUGCUGACUGGUGAAGGGACAACGUGUGCUCCUCAACACUUGGUUCUUGCCACGUGCCGCAGCAGACUGACAGCUUCCAGUGGGCCUGUCUGAGGGGCGUGACCUCCGCCGCAUUGCUUCAGCAGCCUUCAAGUCCCGGCAAUGAAACGGUUCGUGUGAGGAAGACUGCUUCUGGUGCUGCAGGUGGAAAUUGUUACUAGUGUCGUGGUGGCAGCACGGGCCUCGGCACUCCCUGGCACCACGGCAGGUGUCAGUGAGGCAGGCAGGUGUUGGUUCAAGUCCUGGCAGUGUCACUUCGCUGCUGUAUUGUUUGGUGCAGCGGAUGAUGCUACGUUUUUCAUCACUUAGUGUAGAGUUUAUUUUUGCUUGACGUUAUUUGUGUUGGUAAGGCAUUUCCACUAUAUUUUUGCUUGACGUUAUUUGUGUUGGUAAGGCAUUUCCACUAUAUAGUGGUAGAUAUUCUGGGAAAUAAGGAAUUAGCAAUACUAAGACAUGCUUGAACAACACUCACCAGUGUGGAAGACUUGUCAGGCAGUGGCUGUAGUGGCUUCACUUGAACCACGACCAUGUUCUCCUCAACCCUUGGAAAGAGAACAAUUCAUCUGAAAUGGAGAUACAAAGAUAUUGGGAAAAAUUUAAGAGAGACGCUGCAAAGUGUAGCUGACAGUGUGCGCGUCGUCAUCAAGAGGAGGGGCUCUAAAAUGAAACAGUAGGACACUCGUGAAGACAUUCAUACUAUCUUUUCUCAAGGGAAGUGUGUGUCGUGUGUGUUAACAACGUCAGGCGCGGACAUUUUUUGCAUCAAGGGUGAUGUACGAUCCGGACAUGAAAAAAAAGUUUUUUUUUUAUAUAAUUUUCUAAUUUUUUUCCGCUUCUUUUGAUAUAUGUAACGUUUUGAUAAAAAAAAAAUCCCCUUAUGUAAAGAAGUCUUCUGUUAUGAAAUUCCAUGGUUUCGCCCGCUGCGAGACAUGUCACACAAGUUUUUUUUUACAUUUUUUUUUCUCUUUUCAUAUAUUUUUUCUGACAUACCCGUUCUUCUUCACUCUCCCAUGAAUAUCUACGGUUCUCUUGCUGCAUACAAUAUUAGAAAGCACAAAAUUCUAGGUCUAACUAUUUUCUCAAAUUGAUAUACGAAAAAAAAAAUCAUAUUUUUUUUUUCGUAAAUCUAGCAAAUAGUCAAUGUAUCUGCAUUAGAUAUCUUUUGCAUUAAUAUUUUAUUUAUUUCUAAACAGUUAAACACUGGUUUUUACUUAGAAAUAUGGCGAAAUAACAAAAAUUGUUUUCACCCGCCUUCUCCCCUCCCACCCGGUAAUUAAGGAUGAAAUCAUGAAUAGCUUUAGGCCUUAUAUACAAAACCAAUCGGAGUAACUAAAACUAUGUCUGCUUUUUCAACAUAUUCUGAUGUAUAUAUCGCGUGAAUUUCAAGUCCCUGGCUGCAAUAGGUGAAUUAGUCACCCCUUAAACUUUAAGACAUAAUAUCUCAAAAUGGCGGAUUUUAGCAUAUAAAAAUGAUCUGGUCCGUUGUUAUUGGUGUUACACACAGAUGGGCUAUUGCGGCUUAUCAAACUGUGAUAGGCGAACAAAGUCUGCUGUCGUCAUUUUUGUUUGGAGUUGAUUUUGAUUUUUGACAAAUAUUUCAGUUUUUUUUUUUUUUUUUUUUUUUUUACUUUUCAUCGAAAAAAAAAUCGUACAAUAAAAGAAAAAAGAUAGCAGACUUUGUUCUCCUAUCCUUCCUGAUCAAAAUACUUUUUAAAUAAAUGAGGGAGGAGAUACGAGUUGAACGCAGGCAAUUUAACAAGGGAUUAGCGAUCCUUCAACCACCCUCAAGUGUAUGAAUAAAGGUGAUUAGUUACUUUGAUGUGGAAAGACUGUAAUUUGUAAAGAUGAGAAUAUAUGAGAAUAAAUUAUUUCUGUGACCUUGUGUCCAGCCAAUGUUUGUAGGUGUUAAGGUGAAACCACGAGGUGAGGUGACAUUAGUAUUGUCAAGUGUCUUUGUAAGGUACUCACACCAAAGUUUUCAUUUGCUUCAAUCAAUCAAGGUCUGGUGAUAAAAAAGGCACUGCAUCCUGUGCACUCUAACCUGUGCACGCCUUCCUUUCACUCUGGAAUGCACACCUUUAUAUAUUGUGCUGCAUUCACACUCAUUUUUCAAUAAAAAUAAAUAAAUAAAUAGCAAUCAACAAAAAACAAAAAGUGACUUA